AUUGAACGCUGGCGGCAGGCUUAACACAUGCAAGUCGAGCGGGGGAGGUUGCUUCGGUAACUGACCUAGCGGCGGACGGGUGAGUAAUACUUAGGAAUCUGCCUAUUAAUGGGGGACAACAUCUCGAAAGGGAUGCUAAUACCGCAUACGCCCUACGGGGGAAAGCAGGGGAUCACUUGUGACCUUGCGUUAAUAGAUGAGCCUAAGUCGGAUUAGCUAGUUGGUUGGGUAAAGGCCUACCAAGGCGACGAUCUGUAGCGGGUCUGAGAGGAUGAUCCGCCACACUGGGACUGAGACACGGCCCAGACUCCUACGGGAGGCAGCAGUGGGGAAUAUUGGACAAUGGGGGGAACCCUGAUCCAGCCAUGCCGCGUGUGUGAAGAAGGCCUUAUGGUUGUAAAGCACUUUAAGCGAGGAGGAGGCUCUUUUGGUUAAUACCCAAGAUGAGUGGACGUUACUCGCAGAAUAAGCACCGGCUAACUCUGUGCCAGCCGCCGCGGUAACAC
rnacentral:rRNA from 1 species